rnacentral:miRNA from 1 species
UCCUUCAUUCCACCGGAUCCUG